rnacentral:rRNA from 1 species
GACGAACGCUGGCGGCGUGCUUAACACAUGCAAGUCGAGCGGAGCGGCGCACGGGUGAGUAACGCGUGAGUAACUGCCCCCCUCUCUGGGAUAACAGUUGGAAACGGCUCCUAAUACCGGAUAGUGGGGGAUGACUCGCGGCCUAUCGGCUUGUUGGUGGGGUAGGGGCCUACCAAGGCGACGACGGGUAGCCGGCCUGAGAGGGCGACCGGCCACAUGGGGCUGAGAUACGGCCCAAACUCCUACGGGAGGCAGCGGGGGGGAAUAUUGCACAAGCGGGGAAACCCUGAGGCAGAAACGCCGCGUGCGGGAUGACGGCCUUCGGGUUGUAAACCGCUUUCAGCCAUGACGCGGUAGUGGCAGAAGAAGCACCGGCUAACUACGUGCCAGCAGCCGCGGUAAUUC